rnacentral:rRNA from 1 species
CCUACGGGUGGCAGCAGUGGGGGAUAUUGCACAAUGGGGGGAACCCUGAUGCAGCAACGCCGCGUGGGUGAAGAAGCUCUUCGGCUUGUAAACUCCUUUUGUUAGGGAAGAUAAUGACGGUAUCUGACGAAUAAGCCCCGGCUAACUCCGUGCCAGCAGCCGCGGUAAUACGUAGGGGGCAAGCUUUAUUCGGAUUCACUGGGCGUAAAGAGGGCGCAGGCGGGAUAGCAAGUCAGAAGUGAAAUCCCAUGGCUUAACCAUGGAACUGCAUGUGAAACUGUUAUGCUAGAGUACAGGAGAGGUAGGCGGAAUUCGUGGUGUAGCGGUAAAAUGCGUAGAGAUCAAGAGGAAUACCCAUUGCGAAGGCGACCUGCUAGAAUAUAACUGACGCUGAGGCGCGAAAGCGUGGGGAGCAAACAGGAUUAGAUACCCGAGUAGUC